AACACAACAAGAGACCAACAAAACCAUUACGACGUGCACAAAUGCCAUCCGACAAUUAUCUGAGGUCAUCCGAGGUUCUUCCAGGCAAGAGCGGCUUCAACUGGACCGCCUGAAGAACCAACUUUCUGAUGCCAUUCAGCGGUAUGGGACCGUUCAAAAGAAAAUUGCAGAGAAGUCCAAAGCACUGCUCCCCAAAGGACAGAGAAGUAGGAAACAG